GCCGGGCGCCCCGGCGCGCUUGGACGCGGGUCCUUUCCCACCUCUCGGCGCGCUUCCAGCGCCGCUCCCCCCACGCCCCUGCAUUCCUGCCGCCGGCGGCGCGGCGAUCCGUGCGUCCGUCGUCUCCGGAGGGCGCGAGAUAACGGAAGGAGACCUGGAUAAGUCGGGCUGACGGGGCCCGGCGCGGCCGUCCGUUAUUCCGCGCCCAUCCCCCGCGGCGGCCGUGGGUCCUGCCGGAUACCUCUGUGGCGACCGCCCAGCAUCCCUCAGUGUGUUGCUGCCUCCCCUGCAGGGCAGCGCCGCAGAGAGCCUGAGCACAGGCGGUUGGGACACUGCCCGAGCCGGCCAGAGGACAGACUGCAUCAGGGAUUGCCAUCGCUAGCCCGCACAGACCGGCAGACCUGCAUCCGCAGAGAAUGGGCCCCGAGAAGGGACCAAGCGGAACCGCGAGAAGGGGACUAACUUUCCUACCUUGGGGAUUUCAAUUUAAGUGAGAAAGAAGUUUAUUUGAGGUCUGGGAGGAGUGGGUGAGCUGAGUGAAUUUGCCAGCAUAUUGGAAGGUGUCUUAGCGACUCCAUUCAGAUUGUUCACGCCCCCCUCCUCCCUUCUUUCCUCUCUGAGGGCAUUAUCCGGAGUCCAUCCCUCAGGCCAUUACUUUUAGUGCCUACCAAUUUCACAGAAUAACCCGUGGUACCCGUGGCAUAGUAAAGAAAUUGCUUAGGGGUCACAUCGUGGGAUCCUAAGUCCUUGGUUUCUACUUGGCAUAAU
rnacentral:lncRNA from 1 species